rnacentral:lncRNA from 1 species
CGUGGUAUGAUCCUCCAAUGAUCCCCGGAUUACUUCGAAAGAUUAACGGAAUAGAGCAAGAGAUGGAGAAAAUGCGUGCAAUAGGAAAAAUGCGAUUCUUGGUUAUUGAUUUUAAUCAUGUUAUUGUAGAUGGAGUAAAUAUUGUCAUUUGGGUUGAUUAAACUUCUAGUAUAGUUUGUUGUAACCUUAUCCAAGAUGGAGUAAAUAUUGUCAUUUGGGUUGAUUAAACUUCUAGUAUAGUUUGUUGUAACCUUAUCCAAGAUGGAGUAAAUAUUGUAAUUUGAGUUAACUUCUAGAAUCUGUAAAGAAAGUUUUGUCUUUGUAUUGUUAGAAGUGGUGAUAUUAGCAUUAACAUCAAUUCAUGGCCAAUUCAUG